rnacentral:rRNA from 1 species
UACGUAGGUGGCAAGCGUUUGUCCGGAUUUACUGGGCGUAAAGGGCGUGCAGGCGGUUUGUUAAGUGCAGGGUGAAAGCUCCCGGCUCAACUGGGAGAGGUCCUUGCAUACUGGCGAACUCGAGGGAGGCAGAGGAAAGUGGAAUUCCCGGUGUAGUGGUGAUAUGCGUAGAUAUCGGGAGGAACACCUGUGGCGAAGGCGGCUUUCUGGGCCUUACCUGACGCUGAGGCGCGAAGGCGUGGGGAGCGAACGGG